rnacentral:rRNA from 1 species
GUAGGUGGCAAGCGUUGUCCGGAAUUAUUGGGCGUAAAGCGCGCGCAGGCGGUCCUUUAAGUCUGAUGUGAAAGCCCACGGCUCAACCGUGGAGGGUCACUGGAAACUGGGGGACUUGAGUACAGAAGAGGAAAGCGGAAUUCCAAGUGUAGCGGUGAAAUGCGUAGAGAUUUGGAGGAACACCAGUGGCGAAGGCGGCUUUCUGGUCUGUAACUGACGCUGAGGCGCGAAAGCGUGGGGAGCAAACAGGGAUUAGAUACCCUGGUAGUCCACGCCGUAAACGAUGAGUGCUAAGUGUUAGGGGGGUUUCCCGCCCCCUUAGUGCUGCAGCUAACGCAUUAAGCACUCCGCCUGGGGAGUACGGCCGCAAGGCUG